rnacentral:rRNA from 1 species
AACGAACGCUGGCGGCAGGCUUAACACAUGCAAGUCGAACGCGUGUAGCAAUACACGAGUGGCGCACGGGUGCGUAACGCGUGGGAAUCUGCCCUUGGGUUCGGAAUAACAGUUAGAAAUGACUGCUAAUACCGAAUGAUGUCUUCGGACCAAAGAUUUAUCGCCCAAGGAUGAGCCCGCGUCGGGUUAGCUAGUUGGUGAGGUAAAGGCUCACCAAGGCGACGAUCCGUAGCUGGUCUGAGAGGAUGAUCAGCCACACUGGGACUGAGACACGGCCCAGACUCCUACGGGAGGCAGCAGUGGGGAAUAUUGGACAAUGGGCGAAAGCCUGAUCCAGCAAUGCCGCGUGAGUGAUGAAGGCCUUAGGGUUGUAAAGCUCUUUUACCCGGGAUGAUAAUGACAGUACCGGGAGAAUAAGCCCCGGCUAACUCCGUGCCAGCAGCCGCGGUAAU